CUGCUGCCUUCCGUAGGAGUUUGGUCCGUGUCUCAGUACCAAUGUGGGGGGGUUAACCUCUCAGUCCCCCUAUGUAUCGUCGCCUUGGUGAGCCGUUACCUCACCAACUAGCUAAUACAACGCAUGCCCAUCUUUUACCACCGGAGUUUUCAACCCCAAAACGAUGCCGUCUCAGAUAUUAUGGGGAAUUAGUACCAAUUUCUCAGUGUUAUGCCCCUGUAAAAGGUAGGUUGCAUACGCGUUACGCACCCGUGCGCCGGUCGCCAUCAUAAG
rnacentral:rRNA from 1 species